AUGUUGAGCUGCUUCUCCACUUCCAGAGGCCGCAGCCUCAGGACCCCAGGUAGAGAAAGUAUCUGUGAAAGACUAAGAAGAUGGCUGACUCCAUCCAGAUGCCACAGGCCACACUGUAGCAGCCACAUGACUGUCACAGACACCCCAGGGACAGUCUCCCCUGGAGUGACCACCAGUGACCUACCAAAAUCAAGAUUGACAAUAAUGAUCAGCAACUCAAUGAUACCAUGGGAAGGAAGAACCUUCAAUACCUCUCAGUGCUACAGCCUGCUCCUCAGUGCUACAGCCUGCUCCUCAGUGGCUUCACGACCACGAACACACCCAUGUGUGGGGCUGGUGUAACAUCCUUGAAGAUCCGGCAGAACUCCAUAUUCCACAGAGUCUCAUCAUCCCAAUCCUUGCAGGCAAGAAGAAUGGCUCCCAGGACACUCCUUCUCCAGUUAGUAGGACAGCUAUCAAUCUCAGUGUAAGACAAAAGCCUUUCUAUAAAAACCAAGGUUGUUAUUGCACAUUCAGUUGGUAAGCGUGUGGCACUAAAAAUAAUAGCAACAAAUCCGUAAAUACACGUGUUCAGGAUCAUGCUCAAAGUAUUCCUCUGGAAGCUUUUCUCUUGUGAGUGGAUGCAAUUGCUCAUCAAAAAUAUCCAGGCAUCUGUUUGCAUCUCUGUUCUUUAUGAGGUAAUAUAUUGCUAGGCUCACACAUUUUACCAUUAUUCUAGGAAUAGGCUGGCUGAGUGUACUGUGAUCUACAACUAUUGUUGAGAAUGAGCUAUAUUUCCUAGUAAGCUGCCCUGGAGAUACACGGAUGAAGUUGUUGUAUAUCAUCUGAGCAUCCACACAUGCUUGACAUUUGUUCAGGAAAAUUGUGCUUGCCCUUGGAUGGUCAAAGGUACAAAGCUACAAAGCUACACUGUCUGGGCUCCUGGGUCCUCCUCCCAAGCGGAUCCUCCUCAGGCUCUGGCUCCCCAGGGGCAGAAUGUCGGUGGCUCUGGAUGCACUUCUCCACCCAGUCCCUAUUAGGAGGCUGUGGGUCACUCCCAGGCGCAGCCUCAGGACUCGCCCACCACCCUUAGGGCUCAAGAGAGACUUUAUU
rnacentral:lncRNA from 1 species